rnacentral:rRNA from 1 species
UUGUAACUUCUUUUCUCAGUAAAAGAAAUUUUGACACGUAUCUGAUGAAUAAUCAUCGGCUAACUCUGUGCCACCAGCCGCGGUAAGACAGAGGAUGCAAGCGUUAUCCGGAAUGAUUGGGCGUAAAGCGUCUGUAGGUGGCUUAAAAAGUCUCCUGUCAAAGAUCAUGGCUUAACCCUGGGCCGGCAGGACAAACUCUUACGCUAUAAUUUGGUAGGGGCAGAGGGAAUUCCCGGUGGAGCGGUGAAAUGCGUACAGAUCGGGAGGAACACCAAAAGCAAAAGCUCUCUGCUGGGCCACAACUGACACUGACACACCAAUGCGAGGGGAGGAAAAGGGAUUAUAUACCCCUGU